rnacentral:rRNA from 1 species
AUGAGUUUGGUUGGGAUCAGCUCUGUCCGUGGUGGUCUCAUGGAUGUAGUGGUGACACCUCUCCUAGUAUACAUGUCCAAAAUCAUUAUUUUGUGGGAAUUCUCGCAGACUUUGCCUUUGUUCCGGGAGGCGUGCAACGACGGCAUGAAGAACAACAUCGAGACCAUACGUUCGGUUUCUCUGUGCCUGCUCUGCUGCCAUCCACACCCGCACUAUCCCAGCUCGUGUGCCGGCUCGAGGAGAAGCUCAGGCCGCCACCACACAAAGGGAGAGGAACCCAAGAAGAAUCUAUCCCGCCUUACUGUCCAUGACCCGACGACAGAGACAGCUACUUCGAGCCUAGGUCCUGCUCCGGAGACCGUUCCAGAGUACCUGUCUGUGAAGCAGUGCCUCCUCUGUUGA